rnacentral:rRNA from 1 species
UAGGGAAUCUUCGGCAAUGGGGGGAACCCUGACCGAGCAACGCCGCGUGAGUGAAGAAGGUUUUCGGAUCGUAAAGCUCUGUUGUUAAGGAAGAACGAGUGUGAGAAUGGAAAGUUCAUGCUGUGACGGUACUUAACCAGAAAGGGACGGCUAACUACGUGCCAGCAGCCGCGGUAAUACGUAGGUCCCGAGCGUUGUCCGGAUUUAUUGGGCGUAAAGCGAGCGCAGGCGGUUAGAAAAGUCUGAAGUGAAAGGCAGUGGCUCAACCAUUGUAGGCUUUGGAAACUGUUUAACUUGAGUGCAGAAGGGGGGGGUGGAAUUCCAUGUGUAGCGGUGAAAUGCGUAGAUAUAUGGAGGAACACCGGUGGCGAAAGCGGCUCUCUGCUCUGUAACUGACGCUGAGGCUCGAAAGCGUGGGGAGCGAACAGG